rnacentral:sRNA from 1 species
GCAGAUCGUGCAUGCGAGGUGAGCGC